rnacentral:rRNA from 1 species
UUGCGGUUAAAAAGCUCGUAGUUGGAUUUCUGUCGAGGGCGGCCGGUCCGCACUAUGUGCGUGUAUCUGGUUCGGUCUUGGCAUCCUCUUGGGGAUCGUUUCUGUGCUUGAUUGCAUGGGGCGGAAUUCAAGACUUUUACUUUGAGGAAAUUAGAGUGUUCACGGCAAGCUAUCGCUUUGAAUACAUUAGCAUGGAAUAAUAAUAUAGGGCGUAAGUUCUAUUUUGUUGGUUUCUAGAACAUACGCAAUGAUCAAUAGGGAUAAUUGGGGGCACUCGUAUUAACGCGUCAGAGGUGGAAUUCUUAGAUUGCGUUACGACGAACUACUGCGAAAGCAUUUGCCAAGGAUGUUUUCAUUGAUCAAGAACGAAAGUAUGGGGAUCGAAGACGAUUAGAUACCGUCGUAGUCUAUACCAUAAACUAUGCCAACUAGAGAUUGGAGGUCGUUUUUUUUAUGACUCCUUCAGCACCUUAUGAGAAAUCAAAGUUUUUGGGUUCCGGGGGGAGUAUGGUCGCAAGGCUGAAACUUAAAGGAAUUGACGGAAGGGCACCACCAGGAGUGGAGCCUGCGGCUUAAUUUGACUCAACACGGGAAAACUUACCA